UAUCAGCCUUUUGGGCAUGAUUCUGUGGAGCGUGAGGAGUUAAACGCCUUCAUGCCUGCAUAUUCGUGUACUUUGGGUGUACUUGCCUGUGUGGUUAGUUAACAUCAAUUUUGGUUAUCAUAAAAUGGUUGGAGGAAUGUAGCUUCGAUUUCGAUUGAAGUGUUAUAGCCUUCGGCAGAUGUGAUGAUCGGGAUUGAGGAUUGCAACGGAUACCCUUCGGGGCUACCUGUCUGGUCUCUGAUCGUUGCUCUGGUGCCGAAAGCGUGCUUACGGUUAUCAAAGUCGAUGGUCAAUAGGUUAGAACGGGUUAAAUUCGUUAAGGAUGUUGACGUG
rnacentral:rRNA from 1 species